rnacentral:lncRNA from 1 species
AAGAAGAAGAAGAAGAAGAAGAAGAAGAAGAAGAAGAAGAAGAAGAAGAAGAAGAAGAAGAAAAGUAUUUUAUGCAGUGUACAGAGGGCACAGUUGAUUGAUUGGAAAAUACUUUCUCUGUCUAUUCUACUCUAGUGCCUCCCCUUUCAGAGCCACAUGGUUCAGAAUGUUUCCCAUAUGGCCUAGUUAAUCACAGCUGAGGACUUGGAACAUGCACUCAAAGUUAGUGAACUUAGUAACUGACAGAACAAAAGGUCUCUCUGAAAGGUCAUUUCAAACAUCUAAAUCACUGCCUUCCUGCCUUCAUAAUAGGGAGGAUCACAGCUUACUCAUUUGGAAAUUGAACCAGAAAUAGCUUUGUUUACAAGGCCAGACUUGCACAUUCCUUACCUUAGCUAUUUUGGAGGAUAUCUUGAUCUGGACCUGCUCGUCAUUAGAUUCCAGCCCUUCCUGCAAGCCUUGCAGUCUGUCCACCUCCAGGCAAAUGCCUAUAGUUAGCAAAGGGAGAAAGAGGCUUUUAAAACACAACAGAGUUGAAAAGUCUUGCUGUGUUCUAAUGAGACAGUAAUUCAGCUGUUGGAUGCUUUUUUUUCCCUCUAAACAUCUAGAAGGUCACAUGAUGAAGGGGUGACCACAAAAGCAGUUUCUACAGGUAGCUCCAUGCAAUGAUCUCAUAUUCUACGCAUAGAAGUCAUCUGAGGUGUGUUCUUUGCUCCUGUUUCUAUUUUUGCAGGAGAAGAAGCUAUGGCAGCACAGCAUGAAGCCAUUUGCCUGAGGUCACACAGAAAGGGCUGUGUGAAUUUGAACCUGUGUCUGUCUGACAAAAAUGCCAGGGGCUUCUUCUUCUUCUUCUUGAAGUUUCAUUCUGUGGCCAUGGAGGACUCCGGUGAGCAAGCAUGCAAAGUGGCCACAGUGAUUGCUCAGCUCUGGAGUUGGGAGAUUUACCCAUGGCUUUGCCAUACUCCUCCAUCUGGGACCUGA